rnacentral:rRNA from 1 species
CCUACGGGUGGCAGCAGUCGAGAAUUAUUCACAAUGGGGGAAACCCUGAUGGUGCGACGCCGCGUGGGGGAAUGAAGGUCUUCGGAUUGUAAACCCCUGUCAUGUGGGAGCACAUUCAAAAGAUAGUCCCACAAGAGGUCGCGACGGCUAACUCUGUGACAGCAGACGCGGUACUACCGAGGUCGCAAGCGUUGUUCGGAAUCACGGGCCGUAAGGGGUGCGUAGGCGGUUUCGUAAGUCGUGUGUGAAAGGCGCGGGCUCAACCCGCGGCCUGCACAUGAUACUGCGAGACUAGAGUAAUGGAGGGGGAACCGGAAUUCUCGGGGUAGCAGUGAAAUGCGUAGAUAUCGAGAGGAACACUCGUGGCGAAGGCGGGUACCUGGACAGUAACUGACGCUGAGGCACGAAGGCCAGGGGAGCGAAAGGGAUUAGAUACCCGUGUAGUC